AGUCGUAACAAGGUUUCCGUAGGUGAACCUGCGGAAGGAUCAUUAAUG
rnacentral:rRNA from 1 species